rnacentral:rRNA from 1 species
GAUGAACGCUGGCGGCGUGCCUAAUACAUGCAAGUCGAGCGAACAGACGAGGAGUUUGCUCCUCUGACUUUAUCGGCGGACGGGUGCGUCCCACGUGGUUAACCUAACUCUCCGACUGGGAUACCUUUGGGAAACCGGAGCUAAUACCGGAACAUUUAUUGAAUUGCAUUGUUCCCUAGUUAAAUACGGUUUUGCUGUCGGUUAUAGAUGACCCCGCGCCGCAUUAGCUAGUUGGUUAGGUAACGGCUUACCCAGGCAACGAUGCGUAGCCGACCCGAGAGGGUGAUUCGACAGACUGGAACUGAGGAAGGGUCCAGACUCCGACGGGGGGAAGCAGUAGGGAAUCUUCCGCAAUGGGCGAGAGCGUGACGGAGCAACGCCGCGUGAGUGAUGAAGGUCUUCGGAUCGGAAAGCUCUGUUAGUAGGGAAGAACAAAAGUGUAAUUAACUAGGAACAUCUUGACGGUACCUAAACAAAAAGCCACGGCUAACUACGUG